ensembl:lncRNA
ACCAUUCUGACCAUUUCAUUACCUCUCUUAAAAAGCAUCAGUGGCUACCCAUUGCCUACAGAAACAGAGAGGGGUAAAGAAGAUUAAUAUUUUUGGGCAUCUGUGUCCUAUCAAUGAACAAAUUGCUCUCCACAAAUGACCUUGUCGAAUCCUCAUCGCCACCCCAUGAGGGUUUGGCAUUUCCCCUUUUCUGAUUGGCUGCCUCCCCAGGGCCCGGGCCUCAGUGCUGGUGGCCCUCUGGGGGUCGGGAGCGCAUAAAUAGUUCCUGCUGGGGAAACUGGGAAACUGGUCUCAGACAAGAGGAACAGACAUCUCUGCCACGCACUGCUGCCUGGAGCUGCAUGGGGUCCCAGUGCUGCCAGCGUGUCUUCUGUGUAUCGCCCCAUGCACCUCUGCCUCAGCCACAGCCCUUCCCCGCAGCAGCUCCCGCGGCCUGGCCUGGUAGAGCUGCAGCCCCAGGCCUCCUUCUACUCCUUCCUGGUACAACUGCAUGAACCCCAGAGACCCAAGAAGCGAGUAGUGUUUGCAGACACGAAGGGGAUCUCAUUGACAUCCGUGCACAAGUUUGAAGAUGCUGUGGGCAGACACUCUGAAGAAGCCUCGUGUCCCAUGUUCAGUUUCCUGCGCCCUGCGCCACCUGGCUGGCCAGAGCCACCACCUACACUCUGGGCUUCCCCGCACCCAGGCAGGGUUCGGGGGUUUCAGAGGCGCCUGCAGGUGCAGAGUGUGCGCCCGGAGCAGCGUGCUGGGCAGGGGCCUUCCUGCGAGGCGCUGUCUAGCAGGCAGGCUGGGUUCCAGAAGGCAAGGCAGAUGCGCAUCACCUUUGAUGUCAGGGCUCCUUCCAAGAAGUGCCUAGUGUUCACACGGCCAGUCCUUGCAGAAGCGAGACUGACAGCUUCGCCUUCCAAGCCAUGUUGCCACUAGGUCUCCCAGGCCGGUGGGCACCAUCCAGUUCUGCUUCUGUUGUUGGGGAAAACAAUCAAGGGCAAACCUGUUGUUUGGUGCCCAGUUCUCAGUCACGCUCAUCACAAUGUAAGUGAGCUCUGUGAGGGCCCACAGACAGGGCGAGCCGUCUGUGGUUACUUUUUCUGCAGAGGCAAAGCUUGAAUUCCUCACCCAGGAUGUGCUAUUCCUAUCGCUUCUGGAACUUUAUUCAGACUCUUCUUUCUCCUGAAUUCACAGUGGGGAGACAGGAGGGACACAACUCCCAGCCCCCAGAAAGCCUUGAAUGCUUUGCAUUCUUCUCUCACAAGGGGAGCCCACUUCCUGACCAAAGGGCUGAAAUUUCCUUUAGGGAGAUGCUGGGAAUGGCACCCUUUACCCUUUGCAGAGGAGCCUUUGGAGUGUGGAAACAGAAGAAAUGUAAAUAAAGCUUUUAUGUGUCAUUAUUUAACAGGCCUGGCAGAGUGUCUGUAAGGACUGUGUGGAGGAGGGGUGGGCCGGGGAGGGUUCUUUGCAUUGAAAGCAGGAGGCACCCAGCACAGGAAGGAGCUCUUACACUUUCCUCUCCAGGUGGAAGGGGCCAGCUUUCUGGUAACUUGAAAUCCUACUGCUGCUUCAACUUUUGCCUAAAGAAAAGUUCAUUAAAGCAUCUUCAGUGGUUCACGUUGUAAACACUUGACCUUUCCCCCUCUUUAGCAGGUAAAAGUCUGGGGAAACUCUGUCUACCUCAAAACAGGUGCACUUAAAAAAAAACAAAAACAUUUUUAGCUGUUUUGUGCAUAAUUUACCAAGACCCAGAGACCUGACCUUUGUUCCUAGGCCCCUCCCUCCCCUGUUGUAUUUAUCACCCUAUAUGGAAACUGCUUAUUGAACUGUUUGCCACCCUCAGGGCCUGGAAAGGCUGGACCAGGACUGCCAUCCACCCUGCUGGCCCCCAGGCUGGCAGCCCUGGAAUGCUCAGGAGGUAAGGGUUGGAAUAAUACGUGAAUGUUUGUGCCAGGUAGGCCCCUCGCUUCAACUUGCAAUGCUCUGAGAUCUUCAGUCUUCAGAAGAUUUUAGCCUCUUUUCGGAGAUUGCUCAUUCUCUCAGAUUACUGUUCGUGGAUGACAAAUUUUAAAUAUGUGUUUAAAAAGAAUGUUUCUCUCUUCUGAUUCCUUGACUUCUUGGGCUAUAUUUGUUUGUGCCGGUGGCAGGCUAUAUCAAUGCAAUCAUUGUGGCUGAGCAAGCAGCAUUCUCUUUUUCUCCCUAAAGGGCCUGCCCCAGCUGAUUCAAUCUGUAAAACAACCAGGUGGUUAACAGCGUAAAGCUAGAAGCAGCCAAACACACUGGCUUCCAGGGCCGCUCUGAACACAGCUGCAGCUUCCUCAUCUGAUAAGUAACGCUUUCGUAACUGCACCUGUUUCCUCCUGCUCCCUCUCCAGCCUUCUAGCCCUGCCUCCAUUAAGGGAUGAUCAGGAAUAGG